GACGAACGCUGGCGGCGUGCCUAAUACAUGCAAGUCGAGCGCAGGAAAUCGACGGAACCCUUCGGGGGGAAGUCGACGGAAUGAGCGGCGGACGGGUGAGUAACACGUAAAGAACCUGCCCUCAGGUCCGGGAUAACCACGAGAAAUCGGGGCUACUACCGGCUGGGUCAUCGGACCGCAUGGUCCGAGGAUGAAAGCCGCUUCGGCGUCGCCGGGGGCGGGCUUUGCGGGGCAUUAGCUAGUUGGUGGGGUAAUGGCCCACCAAGGCGACGAUGCAUAGCCGACCUGAGAGGGUGAUCGGCCACACUGGGACUGAGACACGGCCCAGACUCCUACGGGAGGCAGCAGUAGGGAAUCUUCCACAAUGGGCGAAAGUCUGAUGGAGCAACGCCGCGUGAACGAUGAAGGCCUUCGGGUCGUAAAGUUCUGUUGUAAGGGAAGAACAAGUGCCGCAGGCAAUGGCGGCACCUUGACGGUACCUUGCGAGAAAGCCACGGCUAACUACGUGCCAGCCGCCGCGGUAA
rnacentral:rRNA from 1 species